GUGCCAGCAGCCGCGGUAAUACCCGCGCCCCUAGUGGUGGUCGAUAUUAUUGAGCCUAAAACGUCCGUAGCCGGUCUUCUAAAUCCUUGGGUAAAUCGGACAGCUUAACUGUCCGAAUUCCGGGGAGACUGGGAGACUUGGGACCGGGAGAGGUCAGAGGUACUUCUGGGGUAGGGGUAAAAUCCUGUAAUCCUGGAAGGACCACCGGUGGCGAAGGCGUCUGACUAGAACGGAUCCGACGGUGAGGGACGAAGCCCUGGGGCGCAAACGGGAUUAGAUACCCCGGUAGUCCAGGGUGUAAACGCUGCGGGCUUGGUGUUGGGGGUCCUUAGUGGGCGCCCAGUGCCGGAGAGAAGUUGUUAAGCCUGCUGCUUGGGGAGUAUGUCCGCAAGGAUGAA
rnacentral:rRNA from 1 species